UACAGAGGUCUCAAGCGUUGUUCGGAUUCAUUGGGCGUAAAGGGUGCGUAGGCGGCGCGGUAAGUCGGGUGUGAAAUCUUGGAGCUUAACUCCGAAACUGCAUUCGAUACUGCCGUGCUUGAGGACUGGAGAGGAGACUGGAAUUUACGGUGUAGCGGUGAAAUGCGUAGAUAUCGUAAGGAAGACCAGUGGCGAAGGCGGGUCUCUGGACAGUUCCUGACGCUGAGGCACGAAGGCUAGGGGAGCAAACGGA
rnacentral:rRNA from 1 species